rnacentral:rRNA from 1 species
AUUGAACGCUGGCGGCAUGCCUUACACAUGCAAGUCGAACGGCAGCAUGAUCUAGCUUGCUAGAUUGAUGGCGAGUGGCGAACGGGUGAGUAAUACAUCGGAACGUGCCCUGUAGUGGGGGAUAACUAGUCGAAAGAUUAGCUAAUACCGCAUACGACCUGAGGGUGAAAGUGGGGGACCGCAAGGCCUCAUGCUAUAGGAGCGGCCGAUGUCUGAUUAGCUAGUUGGUGAGGUAAAGGCUCACCAAGGCGACGAUCAGUAGCUGGUCUGAGAGGACGAUCAGCCACACUGGGACUGAGACACGGCCCAGACUCCUACGGGAGGCAGCAGUGGGGAAUUUUGGACAAAGGGCGAAAGCCUGAUCCAGCAAUGCCGCGUGUGUGAAGAAGGCCUUCGGGUUGUAAAGCACUUUUGUCCGGAAAGAAAUGGCCCUGGUUAAUACCUGGGGUCGAUGACGGUACCGGAAGAAUAAGGACCGGCUAACUACGUG